AGGCCUGAGGUACUGGAAGGUCCUCAGGCCGAAAGGGGCUCUGCCCGCCCGAGGAUGGGCCGGCGGCCGAUUAGGUAGUUGGUGGGGUAACGGCCCACCAAGCCGAAGAUCGGUACGGGCCAUGAGAGUGGGAGCCCGGAGAUGGACACUGAGACACGGGUCCAGGCCCUACGGGGCGCAGCGGGCGCGAAACCUCCGCAAUGCGGGCAACCGCGACGGGGGGACCCCCAGUGCCGUGGCAACGCCACGGCUUUUCCGGAGUGUAAAAAGCUCCGGGAAUAAGGGCUGGGCAAGGCCGGUGGCAGCCGCCGCGGUAAUACCGGCGGCCCGAGUGGUGGCCGCUAUUAUUGGGCCUAAAGCGUCCGUAGCCGGGCCCGUAAGUCCCUGGCGAAAUCCCACGGCUCAACCGUGGGGCUUGCUGGGGAUACUGCGGGCCUUGGGACCGGGAGAGGCCGGGGGUACCCCUGGGGUAGGGGUGAAAUCCUAUAAUCCCAGGGGGACCGCCAGUGGCGAAGGCGCCCGGCUGGAACGGGUCCGACGGUGAGGGACGAAGGCCAGGGGAGCGAACCGGAUUAGAUACCCGGGUAGUCCUGGCUGUAAAGGAUGCGGGCUAGGUGUCGGGCGAGCUUCGAGCUCGCCCGGUGCCGAAGGGA
rnacentral:rRNA from 1 species